UUUAGUGUCAUAUCCCAUACUAUGUAUUUACUCUUGCUGUGAAAUUAGAUCAUUCAGUAGCUUUGGAUGAGGACUGAAAAAAAUUAUACAGUUCUAUAUUUAAGAGAUGAGGAAUUAUGCACAUUGUUUACAUUAUUUACAUUUGAGAGGUAUUUGUCCUCAUCUUGUUUGUUGUUAACACGUUUCAGCUAAUACCCGCCUCCAGCCUUCUUCAGGUGUCUUGGGGAAAUUUCGAACCUGAGCUCUCAUUCCUAAGUCCAGUAAAUGGAGGGUAGCAAGGUGUGGGUUGAUGUGUUGUGGGUGAAGAACAUACCCUGGAGAAAUACUUCCUGGCUACAAAUCGAUCCAAGUUAAGGAUAUAGUGAAAUUACUAUUACUUUCCUUAAUAUAUUGCAAACAUCUACCAUCUUUGUUUAUGGUACAAUUUCAUUAAAUGGGAGACCUCUAUUAGGCCAGAUGUGAUCUAAAUUAAUUGGAAAUGCAAUUAGACAUCAAUAAAAGACAUUUCUGUUAUAGUUA